rnacentral:misc_RNA from 1 species
GGAUUCCGUUGGAACAGUCUACGCUGGCAACUCUGACACAGGCAAGCAUUAUUCAGGGACGGGAGCUCCCUCACUCUAAUUGAGAAGACUACCUCUCUGUGCAGUUAUUUAGCAAGAAAACUACAAUUAGAAUAACAGUAUAACCAGUGGUGUGUUGUUGGUGGUGAUAUGGUGGAUGUGGGCCGGAAAGCGGUGGGAGGAAGGGAAAAGAGGACUGCGGCUGUGCGGGAGUGAGACAAUUUCCCGCUCCCUGCCAGCAUCCCACAGAUCGGUAGUACGCGCGCGUUGGCGGUGGUGGGUAGUUCGUGACGCCUCUUCUUCGCUGCUUGUCCAUUGCCCUGUCCAGCUUUGUCAUGUGCAAAAAUGUGGGGCAGCGGUGACCCCUCGGCCGCAUUCCCACUGGGCAUCCUGCUCCUCCUGCUGGCGGUGCUAGACGGGCUAGCGCAAGGCAAGGAGGACUAUGGACGGAACGAGGACGGGGCCUCUGGGGCGGCGGCGGGCACGGCGUGGACCACCAGCCAGGAGGUGGUGAAGAGAAUCCUACCCGAUGACGUCCAGUGCCAGUGUAAUGAGGGAGUGCUGGCCUGCAGGGAUGAAGAAGGGGAGUGUGCAUGUGUAGCCAAUGAACUGCUGUGUGAUGGUCGCCUUGACUGUCUGGAGGGUGAAGAUGAAGCCCACUGCCUGAGGGAGCCCUGUACAGGUCACCUCUGCUCCAAGACCAGCAAGUGUGUGGACAGCUCCGUGGUGUGUGACGGCAUUGAUGACUGUGGAGAUAAGAGUGAUGAAUGGUUUUGCAAGCUCCCGCAAAUCAAUGCUAACUGCACCAAACCGGACCAGUUUACUUGUGCUGAUGGGAAGUACUGCAUCUCUGUGGUGUGGUUGUGUGACGGGGAUGCUGACUGCCAGGAUAAGUCUGAUGAGGCUGAUUGCUCCAGCACCUGCCAGCCUCAGGAGCACAGUUGUGGUGACGGCCGCUGCAUCUCAAAAAACUGGGUGUGUGAUGGGGACCCAGACUGCUUUGAUGAGUCUGAUGAGCAGGACUGCAGCAAGUUAUCAGAAACCACCUGUGCGUCGGACCAGGUGUUGUGCACGGUGGACGGACGCUGCAUUAUGCAACACUAUGCUUGUGAUGGAGAAAAUGACUGUGGUGAUUGGUCAGAUGAACAGAACUGUGACAAUGAAACCUGCCCUGGUGAUGACUUCAGGUGUGAGUCUGGGAAGUGUAUUGAGAGAAAGUGGGUUUGUGAUGGUGCACUGGAUUGUACACCUGAUGGGGAGGAUGAGAUAAACUGCUCUCUACCCAUCCCAGUGGCAGGGACUCAACAGCCAAGUGAGUGCCACCCAGAGGAGUCUCAUGCCUGUCCCAACCGCUGCAUUGCCAAGGAGUGGAAGUGUGAUGGCACAAAAGACUGCAGUGAUGGCUCGGAUGAGAUGGGGUGUGAGUUUACCUGCCCACCUGAGCACUACACCUGCUCCCACACGGCCUGCAUCCCCCUCCACCGCCUCUGUGAUGGCCACCAUGACUGUCUCUUUGGUGAUGAUGAGGUUGGCUGCCCCACAGAGGAGUGCACCACCCUUCAGUGCAGCAGCAACAUCUGCAACCCAGCAAAGAACACCUGCCUCUGCCCACGAGGCCACUCCCUCGCUGCAGACAACACCACGUGCGUGGACGUCGAUGAGUGCUCUUUAUUCCGGCCGUGCUCCCAGACCUGCGAAAACGUGGUUGGGGGAUUCAACUGUUCCUGCAUCCCUGACUACUAUGAGUUGCGGCCCGACCACCUCACCUGCAAAGCCGCCUCACCUCCGCCAGCCUACCUCAUCUUCUCCAGCCGAGUUGAGAUCAGGCUGAUAAGCCUGGACCGUCGAAACUACUCAAGCAUUGUUGAGGGUCUUCAGAAUGCCAUCUCCAUUGACUUCCACUAUGAGCAUCGCAUCAUAUACUGGUCUGAUGUCACCCUGGAUGUCAUCAUGAGAGUUUUCAUGAAUGGCACUGGAGAAAUGGCCAUUGUGCGGGGGGGUCUCCGGAUGCCCAGUGGAGUUGGCGUGGACUGGGUGAACGAUCAUGUGUACUGGCUGGACGGGAUCACUAUGCGGAUCGAGGUCGCUAAUCUAGACGGGUCAUGCAGGCGGCCACUUAUCUGGAGCAACCUGGAGAAGCCACGUGGUCUGCUGGUGCACCCACACAAGAACCUUCUCAUUUGGACAGACUGGGGCUCCAACCCUCGAAUUGAGCGUGCCUACCUGGAUGGCUCAGGGCGGCAGGUAGUGAUUGAGGAGGGUCUGCAUUGGCCCAACGGCAUCACACUUGACUACCCCACUGAGACACUGUACUGGGUGGACGCCAAGGAACAUGUCAUAGAGGCAGCUCACAUUGACGGUACCAACAGGAGGACAAUCCUGGAAGGGCUACGUCACCCCUUCGCCAUCACUGUGUUUGAGGAUACACUCUACUGGACUGACUGGCUCACUCGUUCCAUUGAAAAGGCCGACAAGAGGAAUGGUCAGAGUCAAACCACCCUCCAAGGCAGACUCUCAUUGCCUAUGGAUAUUCGCAGCUUACACCCAACUCGCCAGCCCCGCAUCUUGAAUUCUGAGAGGCGUGGGUGUAGCCUCAGGAAUGGGGCCUGCUCCCAUCUCUGCCUCUCCAGCAAGGACUCUUAUGCCUGUUACUGUCCCCAUGGCCUCAUCCUUGGACCAGAUCGCAGGACAUGCAGUGAGAGACCAGACCACACCCUCAUCUUUGCCCAGCGGAAGAGCCUGAGGAUGAUCUCACUUGAGGACAUCCUUGAAAACAACACUGCCUUCACCAUUGCCUCCGCUUCAUCCACUGCCAACACCUCCGACACAGCACAAGUGAGGAUAGAUACAGUGCUGCCCGUGAAUAAUGUCCAGGCUCCUGUGGCUCUUGAUCCCUACACAAAGGAGGACCUCAUCUUCUGGACAGACAUCAAGGCUAAGACCAUCAGCCGUGCACAUCUCAAUGGCUCACGUCACAUCACUGUUGUUGGGAGUGGCUUAGAGAUGCCAGCGGGUGUGGCAGUAGACUGGGUGGGCCACAAGCUGUACUGGACAGAUGCUGGCACCAAUCGUGUGGAGGUGGCUAAUCUGGACGGUUCCAUGCGCUGCCUCCUGGUGUGGCGCGGCCUGGACAAGCCUCGAGAUAUUGUGGUGGAUCCUCAGGAUGGCUACAUGUUCUGGACUGACUGGGGGAAGCAAGCCAAGAUCGAGCAGGCGGGGAUGGAUGGCGAGAACCCGAGGGUGCUGGUCAGUACAAAUUUGAAGUGGCCCAACGGACUAGCCAUCGACCACAGCCGGAGACUUCUGUACUGGCUGGACGCUUCUACCAAGUCUAUUGAGAUGGCCAAGCUGGAUGGGACUCAGAGGAGGGCACUGAUCUCGGGGGAACUGGACCAUCCCUUUGGCCUUGCCCUAUGGAGGAACCUGGUCUUCUGGACAGACUGGGACACCAAGAGUAUGUACAUGGCUGACAAGGAGACUGGAGCUAACAGGCAGACCAUUGUCCAAGGUCUCAAGGAUAUGAUGGAGGUGAAAGUGUUUGAACGAUCCAAUACAACAAAUUCCUCUGUAUGUGACAUUAAGAAUGGUGGCUGCUCUCAUCUGUGUCUGCUCAGCCCCAGUGCUUUGGGUCGCAAGUGUGCCUGUCCCACUGGUGUCAAACUGAAGCCUGAUCGCCUUACUUGCUAUGAUGGACCGGAGAAGGCGUUGGUGUUUGCCCGUCGGCAGGAUGUGCGGCUGGUUUCCCUGGACACCCCUUACCGAGUGGACGUCAUUCUGCCACUUCAGGGACUCCAGCAUGCCGUGGCCUUGGACAUUGACGUUGUGACAGGGGACAUCUUCCUGCCAGACAGUGCUGCUGCCAUCAUCUUCAGGGUGUCUCAUAAGGGCCAAGUGGCAACCCCCGUGGUGACCUCAGCCAUCAAGACUGUAGAGGGCAUUGCUGUGGAUGCCACCGGCAGGAAGAUGUACUGGACUGACCUAGUCAUGCAGUCUGUGGAGGUGAGUGAGCUGGAUGGGACACACAGGCGGGUGUUAUUCACUGGGCUGAACCGUCCCCGAGCCAUCACCACCCACUACCCCUCAGGCCGCCUCUUCUGGACUGACUGGGACGAGCAGUACCCAAGGAUUGAGACUGCAGACAUGGAUGGAAACAACAGGAUGGUGCUAGUAGACACAGACGUGGCUUGGCCCAAUGGACUCACUGUGGACUGGCAGGACUUGGAACUGUACUGGACGGAUGCCAAGGCCAACGUCAUUGAGGCUAUAGGAUUAGAUGGACUCAACAGACGCCGGGUGAUAACAGGUCUGCCUCAUCCCUACGGUGUGAGCACUCAGGGGCGCUGGCUCUACUGGACAGACUGGGAGACCAAAUCCCUGAACCGAACUCUCAAGAGAAGUGGCCGUUCACCCUCCACCAUCAGGGAGGGACUGGCAGGGAUUAUGGACGUCAAGGCUUUACCCGGCCCUGAUGUGGUGAGUAAUGCAUGUGGAACGAACAAUGGGGGCUGCUCUCACCUGUGUCUCCGCCAGCCCAAUGGAUUCACCUGCGCCUGCCCCACUGGUCUCAAGACAGUGGAGGGUAAUCCUUCUCGCUGUGAGAAUGAACCACAGGACUAUCUGAUCUAUGGCGCCAAGGGAACACUGGGACGCAUCUCUCUUGAUGUUGAGCCACUGUGGGAGUUCCCGCUUCCCAUCCCAGCCACCUCACACCCCAUCUCUGUUGAUGUGCAUUAUGAGAAGCGGCUUCUUUUCUAUGCUGAGGCUGAUCUGCAAGUCAUAAGGGUUGUGUCUCUGAGGAACUUGUCAUACCCUUGGUCAGUCCUCUCCCCGGGCUACACGACACCCGAUAACCUGGCUGUGGAUUGGGUGGCCGACAACAUCUACUGGACAGACUCAUUGAGGAGAGUUGUGGAAGUAGCGAGGCUGGACGGAUCUUCGGCGAAAGUGAUCAUUAACAACAGUCUGGAUUCACCGCGUGCUGUGGCUGUGUUUCCUAGUGAAGGCUUGCUCUUCUGGACGGACUGGGGCAAGCCUUCCAAGAUAGAGCGUUCGUAUCUCGAUGGAUCAGCUCGGAAGACCAUUGUGGACAGGAAUGUUGGCUGGCCAAAUGGACUUGCCAUUGACUACGAGGCAAAGAAGAUAUACUGGAAUGAUGCCAAGGGGGACACCAUUGACUGUUCAGACCUUGAUGGCGGCAAUGUUGUGACUCUCAUUCAGGAAGUCCCUCACCCCUUCGGCCUAACGCUGCUUGGUCAGCACAUCUACUGGACUGACUGGAAGAAGGCAACAAUUGAGAGAGCAGAAAAGACAACAGGCCAUAACAGAAGGGUGGUGAGAAGUACCAUUGAGGGAGUGAUGGAGGUGAAGGCUGUCACCGCUUCAUCACAGCUUGGAUGGAACCUUUGUGCUGAUCGGAAUGGUGGCUGCACGCACCUCUGCUUCUUCCUGCCCACUGGCCUCCGCUGCGCCUGCCCUGACAUUCUGGAUGAGCGGGCCUGUUCAGGCCGUCCAAUGAUUAAGGUGAUUGACACAGUCUUGCCAACUAAUGUGAUCGACCGGCCUGACAAUCCAUGGGACAAGACCAACACGCCGGGAUUGGUGCCACUGCUGGGGGUGCUGGCGCUGGUGCUGGUGGUGUCUGCGCUAGCCAUGAUGGCAGUGGUGGCAUGGUGGAAGUUCAAACGCCAGACUAAGAUGGUGAAUGAGCCAGAUGGUGGUGCCCUCACCUACACCAACCCCACCUACAGCGCCUCAAACUCAGAUGUCAACACAGACCGCAAACCAUUCACCUGGCGGCGCCUCCACAGUGAAAAUGUGCACCAGGUGCGCAUGUUUGAGGAGAAAGGGGAAGUGGCUGCCUUGAUCAGCGAGGGGAGCAGCGUGGAGCACGAGUCGCCCCCACCCACGCCGCCCACACGCCCUGACGCUGCCACAUAAUGCCCCCACCACAUCCCCACAGCCUCCACCCAGCUGUCCACGUGGGAGCCAAUCACCUCCACCGCCUCAAAAGUGGGUCACCUUGAAGACUGACAGAUUAAUCACACUAAUGCGCUCCACCGCCCCGAGUCCCGCCACUCUCCGACACAAGUGGCCCUCAGGAUUCCCUCUCAAGCCUCCCACACCUCACAUCCCAUGCCUCUCUCUUCCUGUUCCUCUAUCCACCCAAUCCCUAUCCCUACCCAUCCCUCACCACACAGCAGUCAGCACUAUACAGCAGCCACACCACUCACCUCCCCCACAUGUCCAUCAAUGCUACACUACCAUCACCUCCAUUCAUGCACUCCCUCCUCUCCUGCAUGUUGUCUACACACGCAAACACACACACACACACACACACACACACACACACACACACACACACACACACACACACACACACACACACACACACACACAGCUCAGGACCCCCACAGGCUACAGGUAGCCCAGCACCCCUGCGUCCUGCUCCUCACCCUAGCCUUGGUAUGAACCACACGUAGAUGUCCCCUGUGUCUCAGGCUACAGGUAGCCGCUCCCUGCACCACUAGCUGCCCCCUCACACCACCACUCACAGGCUACAGGUAGCCACCCUUGUAUCACCUCACAACCGCUGCAUGUAGGCUACAGGUAGCCCCUGCACCCUCAGGUAAGGCCCAUCCCCCACACCACACCACCACGUCUGUGCCCCUGCCAGGGUGUUACCCCCACACCUCAUCCCCACUGCCCCCCCCCUCCCUUUUUCUCCUGUCCCUCCCCCUGAGGACUAAAAGUACGCCCCUAGCGAGCUGUGUCCCCGAGACGGUGGCCGAUUGUCGGGAAGCAACACCCCACUUAUAACACAGAGAGAAUCCCAUCCUAGGGAUGACUCGCCGCCGCCGCCGCCGUCACCACCACCACCACCACCACCAUCAGGCUGCACGAGCUGCCUGGAAGUCUCAUUUGUGUUGCAUUUUAAGUUAUUUUCGUGACACGUUUUGGCAGCUGGUGUCUGGGAUGCGCGGCGCCAUAUCACCCGUCAUGACGGCAUGUCACUCUUGCUAUCGCAGUAUUCUCAUGAGGAAAAAAAUUGUGCCAUGUCCGCAAUGGUGCCGGGACGCCACACCACGUGGUGUGAUGGCUCUCUUAGCGGCGCCGCGUGCUUGGCGGUGCGCGGCGAGGUGUUGCCAAGAUGCUGCAAACCGUGCCAGGCUGUCAGGAAUGAGCGCCGCCUUGUCUCCGCGGCGGGCGAGGCGGCAGCUGGAAAACAGGACCGAGUAGUGGUGGCAUCCCUCCUAAAUAAACCACGCCUACAAAUAAGCCGCUGAGGGGAACAUAAAACAGGGAAAGGAGCCAUUCCCUUCACACUGACUGUAGCUUCUCUUUUUCUACUACUGUUACUACUACAACUCACCCCGUGACAGAAGAGAAGCGUGGAAAGCGGUAUGGGUCUGGCAUAGCUUUUCAUAAUGUUCUCUGGGGGUGCCACGAGCCGCCAGAUGGUGGUGGUGGUGGUGGUGAGAGUGAAGGCCUGCUGGCCCUCAGCUGUGCCGGGUGCCACGGUGUGCGCUCCUCUCCGUCAUGUCCUUUUGUCUACUAUUCGCCAUUGUUGCUGUUUAUUAUUAUUAUUAUUAUUAUUAUUAUUAUUAUUAUUAUUAUUAUUAUUACUAUUACUAUUAUUAUUAUUAUUGUUGUUGUUGUUGUUAUUGAAGAUUAUAGUGUGAGUGUUUGCUUAUUAGUUUGUGUUGAAUGGUUUCCCAAACAUCCUUUCCAUGUGAAGCAUUUCGUAACUCAGCUACGCUCAAGUUUCAGUAGAGAAAAUAUUGUUCUCGUUCCAGCACUUUUGUUCAAGAGUAUCAUGAUUUUUUUUUUUUUUCAUUGUUAUUGGUUGAUCGAUAUUUUUUUUAUUUAUUUGUUGAUUUAUUAUGUAUUUACUUUCACCACGAGAAGACUGUGAAAACUAGAGAGAAUAUCAUAACAAAGUCAUGACGAUGCUCACGAAAAAUUGCCAAACAAAAAAAUAAUAAUUGUAAUAUUGUGUUGGAUAAAUGAUGACGGAACUGAGAGAGAGAGAGAGAGAGAGAGAGAGAGAGAGAGAGAGAGAGAGAGAGAGAGAGUUACUGUUCAGUGAAGAUAAAAUGACAGGAAGUGAGUUGGCAGGAGGAGGGGAAAAGAGACGAGAGGAAGGAAAUAGCAAGGGAAGGGAAAGGAAGGAGGGAGGGAGGGAGGGACGGGAGAACGGGAAAGAAGUACUCAACUCACUACUACUUCACCACAAACACUAAAAUGAUUGGUGUUUUGAUGUUACUGUUACUAAAAAAAAAAAAAAUAACAAAAUAGCGAAAAAAAGAGAGAGAGAUAUAUAUGUACAUGUAAAUUUAAACCCUUGAUCCCUGUGUAGCUUAUAAGGGAGUUUUUUGACUGGAUGACAAAUAUAUAUUGUAUUUUGAUAAAGCGUUUCUUGAAUUAGAUUAACUAUUAUAGGGAUACUGAUAAGGCAGCUAAGUAUGUCCCCGUGUGUGUGUGUGUGUGUGUGUGUGUGUGUGUGUGUGUGUGUGUGUGUGUGUGUGUGUGUGUGUGUGUGUGGCCAACGGUUCGCAGUCUUCGUUUACUAGGCCAUAACUUACUUUCGUGUCACGCUAGUUAAUUUGCUGAAAGUUUAACACCAAGCUUUGAUAACUUUCCCAGCCCUGAACUUGCCCUCACAGCAGCAGACACCGUGGUGCAGCGCUGUGGCAAAGACUAGCGCUACUCAAUCUGUAUCAUAAGCGAACAUUGAUCUGAAGGUACUUUUUUGCAAGACUGUCGAUGAACCCUCCUUUGUUCUACUUCCAGAUACAAGAAGCUUACCAAUUAAUCAAAUCAGGAACUUUAUUAUGACAAUGGCGUCUUAUUCCUACUUUCAACAGUCCUAAGUGGAAGUUGAUGCUUUUAAGAGUGUUUUAAUCCCAUAGUUUUGCCUUUUUUUUAUCAUCAUUUGAAUUAACACUUCAGAACUCAAUUAGUGAUCUCUGUGUCCUUUGAAAAUAGAGUUGACGAGAGGCUAAAACGUUAAUACCCUUGGAUUUUGUUCUUUAAGGCAAAAUAUUCCGGUCUUCAAAACUACGGAGGCUGAAGAAGUGACCAUGACAGUCAUUCUUGCUCUCACACAUCCCAGCCUUUUAUCUCGCUCACAGCCAUAUUGCAAAACACUUCUGCGCCGCUCUCACUGUAUUUUGAAAGGCUCUAAAUGAAGUACCAUGGGUGUUUACGGAUGUUUUUACGAUUUAAAUGACAUAUUAAAAGGCUUUCUACAUUAUUUACAAGAAAAAAAUCAAUCAUGAGAUCCCGGAUAAUGAUUUUUGUGGCCUUUGAAAAUAGUGGUAAGUCAACAAAGCGUUUUUGAAUACACGCUUUACUUUCAAAAGGCUUUAGCGGAAAUUGAGGUUUGGAAGAGUGUUUUCGAUUCCAUUUAUAGAGUAACGGAUUGUACGCUGUCAGUGGGAGAGAACACCAUGAAAAUAUAGAAAAAUAAAUAAAAACCGAUAGUGAUUUCUCUAGCUUUUACAGAGAAAAUUAAAACGUAUAAGAAUAAACGGUCUAAUAACAAAACCAUGCAUACAAUAAUCAUGAAGCAGAAUUGGCGCCGCUUUCGUACCUAGCAGUGAAGGUGUCGUACUGUACAUGCAUACCUUACUUAUAAUUCUGUCUUUAGAGAGAGAGAGAGAGAGAGAGAGAGAGAGAGAGAGAGAGAGAGAGAGAGAGAGAGAGAAACUGAAUAUGAAAGACACUCAAUAACGCAAAUAAUUAAUCUCAGUCUUAGAUAAUUAAUCCUGAGAACGUAAAAAGAAGCGAACGUAAGAAUAUUCACGUAUUUUCUUUUCUCUUAACUGUAGUAAUGAAUAAACAAGGAUUUUAGACUUAAUAGGA